ACAAUGCCAGCCUCAUUUUCUGUAAUUGCUUUAUUUCUUAGAAAGCAAUAACUUAUUAUUAUGGUCUUAUAAUAACAUUUAUGUGAUAUUUCUUUUUCACUUUAGAUACUUGUACAGUGCAAAUAAAAUGCGAGUAUAUAUUUUGUUAAUAAUUAUGUCAAUUUCAUUGACUAUGUAUGUGGUUGGUGAGCUUCAAAUUAAGCAAAAAGUGUUUCGUAUCAAACGGCAAUCUAAUGUUUAUGACCUCCAAAUUGAAGAAAACGAUUCCAAGGUAGAAGAAAUUCCCGGUGGACAAAAUCAGCAGCAAUAUCAACCUAAUAGCCCACAGCAAGAAUAUGUUAAUUAUUAUUAUCCUGGACCGUUGGGGCCAAUUGGUAAUAAAUUAAGGAACAAAGUCGCUAGAUUCGGGCCGUUGCUAGGCGGAAGACUUGGAUUUUUUGGAUAAACCUAUAUUAUCCUAUUUUGUUGUAUUAAAUAAACCUUUUAUCUAAA